AGGAGGGUCAGUCACAUCAAAAACUCACUACUGUAUCUUAGAUACCCACUAGAGAUCUGGAGACCGAGUAAGCUACAGUGUUAACAGUGAACAGCAAGAUCAAGCAGCACCUCUGGGAACGUAGAUGGGAUCUUCGUACUAUACCUCAGGACUCUCACCCCCAAGCCGAUGCUGCCACAUUCCCAUCUCCAGUUGGAGCCAGCCUGCUGUGUGGCGCUGUCGGGCAAUCAUUCCAACUGGAGUGGAGAAAGACUUGCCUGUGCUGAGGAAUUAGUAUACAUCAUUCCAAACAUGCUGUCUCUGCUUUCUUACACAGAAUAAUUAAAUCCCUCAAAACAGUCAGCGUCCACUUGGGAAAUGUCAUAGUGGAAUCAGCAAACAGACAAGGUGGAGAUUUAUUUUUGUGUCCAACUGAAGUAAUUAUGAGUUGUUGGGCUCACCAUUUGCUAAUCAAAACUGAAGAUGAGUAGAUUACCUAAUUGAGCUCACAGUUAGGAUUCUAUUCCGUUCUGAUGAGUCCAAGGCCAAACACCCUACAUUCAGGGAGGAGAGUGUCGAUCACAAAAAGACCACAAAAUGGGAAGAGUAAGCAGCAAAGAAUGGAUCAUUGUUCUCAAACAGCUUUGUCCACAGCCAAGAACAGGCAGAAGGCAUUCGUUCCCCUCUACUGCCUAUGGGAUGUGGGGUAGAGAAGAUGGCUUGCUACGUCCUGCUUUCUGUGGAGAGUCCAACAGGCAAGGACACGCCCUUGCCAGGAAUGAGCUUGCCUCACAUACCUGCCAUAGUGAGAACUGUGUGUGUGGAGGGUAGGGGUGGGGGGAGGAAUCUUGGAAUGAUUGCUUUUCUUUGUAAACACCCUCCUCUUUGCAGUCAGGUUCCAGGUAAGUCAAGAGCCGCCUCACCUUGGUGCUGAUUCCUCACAAACUCAGAUCCAGCAGUAUCUCUGCUUUAGACAGAAAUGAUACAUCAGGUCCAUUUACAACACACAUUAGCUGUAGUCACAGUACUUUUGUGGGCCAGGUCUUUGAGCAGUUUCUCAGCUUUGGCAUUGCUUUGUGGGCCUAAUUAUUCCUUAUGCGGUGCAAUGUACAAUAUUUUACAGCAUCCCUGGCUCUGACCACAAGAUCCUGAGGCCAUGACACACACACACACACACACACACACACACACACACAAAUCCCCAAAGAUUGUCAGAUGUCUGGAGGAUUAAGGUCAUCCUCACGUAAGCACUGGAUUCAGUCUAAACACAAGGCCCACAUUGGGUUUCGUGUGACUGUUAAAUGUCACCAAAUGGGGGAAAAAUACUACCAAGCACUCCUGACUUUGAUCCUAUAACCAAAAAGCUUUCUGCAUCACCCUGUGCAGUUUCCUGAGGAAGAGGCACAGACAACUUUCCAAGAGGCCUCAGUUCUCUGACCCUCUAAGCCUGAGCUCCACCAAAUCAGGCCUCUCCUCCAGCUCACCUCAUCCUAGUCCCAGUACAUCACAUGGCUCCACUGCACACACUCCACACUGCCCAGUGCUCCCCAGUGCUGGUCUCUGAGCAGCUCACUCUUAGCACAGUCUACAGAGCCAGAAAGAUAGGAGGCCUUGAAGUGGCAACCAGCCAGGAACCAACAUGAAGGCCAACUUGCCCAAGCAGGAAGGGUCAGCAACUGACAGAGAAGCAUUUUGCUAGUCUGACAACCGUGUGACUAAAGGACAUGUUACUAACGUAACCAACUGCCUCUCACUCUGCUGUACACUCAACACGUCAGAAGGCUGGGAAAUGGUGUCAGAUUUAGAAGCUGCCUAUUGUGUGGGAAACCUGCUACUUGUUUUCAUUAAAUAAAGUGCUAUGACAUACU
rnacentral:lncRNA from 1 species